rnacentral:SRP_RNA from 1 species
CGUUAGGCUUGGCCGGGGAGCUUGGCGUGCCCUGUACCCGCAAUCGUCAACAGCGGGGGUGACGGCAGGGGGCGGCAUGGCAAACGGUCCGAGCCCGCAGAGUGACCAUGAGAUCUUGUCUUGCAGAGUCGGAGUUUGUGUGUCGGACGGCCGGAGGGCCGUACCGCUCACAUUGAUCGGGGAAACCGGGUCAGGUCCUGACGGGAGCAGCCUUACCCCGUGCUACCGACGUUUGCGGGGUUGCAGGAUUGAGGAGCGAUGCGGACAACUCGGAUCCCUAUGCUGUGUCCACCUCUGUGGCCUAACA